UGCCGCGACCAGCCCGUUUUGGCUCUUUCUCCGCGUUGCCAGCACCAGGGGGUUGGGGUCACCGUGCGCGUUGCUCCUCCGCUCUCUCUAUUUCCAUCUCCUUGCUUUGUUUUGCGAUCUCGCCGACGGACGCUGUCAAACCCUCAUAGGUUGCUUUUCUCCCUUUCUCGCGGAACGCCGGCGUGUCAAGACGAGGCCAUGAGCAGUACAGAACCCCCUGCUGUACCCGUGAAGGUCGUCGUCGACUGCAAGGAGGUUGGCGUCACCAUCGAUUUGCAUAGCCCACCAACGGCGUCGAACUUCCUCGCGUACAACCGCGUUUGCUCAACGCUGGACAGCGACUACCUCAUGCAGCCCAUCAACGAAGCGCAGUACGACAGCGAGACGCAGGCGUGCGUCGACCGCCUCUCCAACGGGCCGACGUCGUUCUAUGAUCACUACGUCCGCAAGCCGACGCGUAAACGCGGUCUGGCCGUUGGGUGCGAGAGCCCCAUGGAGCACAUAGGCGUGAGCGACGACUUUUUGAUGCCACCGACCCAACGCGACUUGCCCGCCGCAUGUGUGAAAGGUGGCAUUUUUAGUGAUCCGUUGACGCGCAGACUUGCGACUGGACGAAUGCCGUCGCGUAACUGAUGAGAUCUCACUCACAUGCUCUCGCGAUUAGAGCUGCGUGUUCGUGAUCAUCUUCCCCUGUAUUCACGCACCGCCCAAACAGGGCACACAGCCAACAACAAAAAAAAAACGUUUUCCUCAUACAGGGUUUGCGACUGGAGUGUCUCUGCCUGCACGACCGCAUGCCGACCACUAAGCAAACAUGCACCCGCGGAGUGCCUAGCUGGCACCGCCGCAGCGGCGCACAUGGCCACACCGACGCGCACCCGAAACACAAGCUGCCGCCACCUCGUCUGCCCGCGCCUUCCUCGGCGUUUUCUGCUUUGCGCGCGCUUGGGGGUGGGGAAGGCUUAGCCUGGCGGCGAGGGCGCCGGUGGCGGGCCGUGGGGGGAGGAAAGGCCGCGCCGCCACCCCC
rnacentral:misc_RNA from 1 species